rnacentral:rRNA from 1 species
AUUGAACGCUGGCGGCAGGCCUAACACAUGCAAGUCGAGCGAGCGGCGGACGGGUGAGUAAUGUAUGGGGAUCUUCCCGAUAGAGGGGGAUAACUACUGGAACCGGUGGCUAAUACCGCAUACUAUUGGAUGAACCCGUAUGGGAUUAGCUAGUAGGUGGGGUAAAGGCUCACCUGGGCGACGAUCUCUAGCUGGUUUGAGAGGAUGAUCAGCCACACGGGGACUGGGACACGGCCCAGACUCCUACGGGAGGCAGCAGUGGGGAAUAGUGCACAAUGGGCGAAAGCCUGAUGCAGCCAUGCCGCGUGGAUGAAGAAGGCCUUAGGGUUGUAAAGUACUUUCAGCGGGGAGGCGGUACCCGCAGAAGAAGCACCGGCUAACUCCGUGCCAGCAGCCGCGGUAAUAC